rnacentral:rRNA from 1 species
AGUAACACGUGGGUAACCUGCCUCAUAGAGGGGAAUAGCCUUUCGAAAGGAAGAUUAAUACCGCAUAAGAUUGUAGUACCGCAUGGUACAGCAAUUAAAGGAGUAAUCCGCUAUGAGAUGGACCCGCGUCGCAUUAGCUAGUUGGUGAGGUAACGGCUCACCAAGGCGACGAUGCGUAGCCGACCUGAGAGGGUGAUCGGCCACAUUGGGACUGAGACACGGCCCAGACUCCUACGGAGGCAGCAUG